AGUGCCGAAAAUGCAUCCCAAGGUAUGGUUUAGAUAACUCGAAUAUCACAUUUUCAGUGUUCGAUAUCUGAUGAGAUAUUCACGUUGUCUAAACCAUGGUUUGUUUUUGAAAACU
rnacentral:pre_miRNA from 1 species